GACGAACGCUGGCGGCGUGCUUAACACAUGCAAGUCGAACGGAAAGGCCCUUUGUUUUUUGGGUGCUCGAGGGGCGAACGCGUGUGUAACACGUGAGUAACCUGCCCUUGACUUUGGGAUAACUUCAGGCAACUGGGUCUAAUACCGGAUAGGAGCCACUCCUUCUUGGUGGGGGUGGGAGAGUUUAGGCGGUUGCUGAUGGUCUCGCUUCUUAUCAGCUUGUUUUUCGGGUAGUGGCUUACCAACUCUUUGACGGUUAGCCGGCCUGAGAGGGUGACCGGACACAUUGGCACUGUGCUCUGGCCCAGACUCCUCCGGGAGGCAGCAGUGCCGACUAUUGCACAACCGGCCGAAGCCUUAUGCAGCAACGCCGCGUGCGGGAAAACGGCCUCCUGGUUAUAAACCGCUAUAGCCUCUGACGCAGCGUGAGUGACGGUACUCAAUACAGAAGCACGGGCUAACUACGUG
rnacentral:rRNA from 1 species